rnacentral:rRNA from 1 species
GUCGUAACAAGGUUUCCGUAGGUGAACCUGCGGAAGGAUCAUUAUUGAAUGAAAUUGAGUGGGGUUGUAGCUGGCCUUCUACUAGGCAUGUGCACAUCUCAUUCAACCUCUUCUUACACCUCUGUGCACUUCUCAUGGGCUGGGUCACAUCUGAAAUAAUGUUGAGACUUGGCCCAUGUGUUUUUACACAAACACUUUUGUUAUUGGAUGUCUGUAAUGCAUGAAUAGCAUAUAAAUACAACUUUCAGCAACGGAUCUCUUGGCUCUCGCAUCGAUGAAGAACGCAGCGAAAUGCGAUAAGUAAUGUGAAUUGCAGAAUUCAGUGAAUCAUCGAAUCUUUGAACGCACCUUGCGCUCCUUGGUAUUCCGAGGAGCAUGCUUGUUUGAGUGUCAUGGUAUUCUCAACCCUUCAGUGUUYUUACAGUUGGGCUUGGACUUGGAGGUUUUUUUGCUGGUGAUACAGGUUGAAUUUCAACUGACGCAUUGGCUCCUCUAAAAUAUAUUUGCUUGGAUUAAUUAUCAAGUAUGGUUCAGUGUGAUAAUGUCUACGCUGUUUCAUCUUGGUAAACAUUAAGUGUCCUAGCUUUGACUUCUGUCUCUUAUCGACAGAUUCUCUGAACAUCUGACCUCCAAAUCAAGUAGGACUA